GUUUGAUCAUGGCUCAGGAUGAACGCUGGCGGCGUGCUUAACACAUGCAAGUCGAACGAACCUUCGGGUUAGUGGCGGACGGGUGAGUAACGCGUGGGAAUCUGCCCUCAGGAGGGGGAUAACGGCUGGAAACGGCCGCUAAUACCCCAUAUGCCGAGAGGUGAAAUGAAUUUCGCCUGAGGAUGAGCCCGCGUCUGAUUAGCUAGUUGGUGAGGUAAGAGCUCACCAAGGCAUCGAUCAGUAGCUGGUCUGAGAGGAUGAUC
rnacentral:rRNA from 1 species